CCGCAUUCUAGCCGUGUCAUGCCUAAUCACCUCUCCCCAGUACCUCUUAGGCCUCCCUCUGCCUCGUUGUACGCCGACCAUCGCCAGCCGCUCACAACUCCUCACUGGGGCAUCAGGACUUAUCCUCCACACAUGCCCGAACCACCUCAUCAUCGCUUCUCGCAUCGUCUCAUCCACCGGGGCCACCCCCACCUUCUCUCGAAUAACUACAUUCUUAAUCUUAUCUAACCUGGUGAGCCCGCACAUCCACCUGAGCAUCCUCAUCUCCGCAACCUUCAUUCUCUGAGCAUGAGAGUUCUCAUCGCCAGCCGCUCACAACUCCUCACCGGGGCAUCAGGGCUUCUCCUCCGCACAUGCCCGACCCACCUCACCCUCGCUUCUCGCAUCUUCUCAUCCACCGGGGCCACCCCCGUCUUCCCUCGAAUAACUUCAUUCUUAAUCUUAUCUAACAUGGUGAGCCCGCACAUCCACCUGAGCAUCCUCAUCUCC
rnacentral:lncRNA from 1 species